rnacentral:tmRNA from 1 species
GGGGAUGCUAGGUUUCGACAGGUUAAAAUUUGAAAGUUGGCAAGUCGAGUUGUUGAAUCUCGUAAAACUUCAACAAAGAUUUAAGUGCAAAUCUAUACAACAAAGCAAAGAGUGCAGUAGCUAACGCUUUUGCACCUCAAUUUGCUGCUGCUGUUGCCUAAAGGCGACAGCCCGUUGAUUUGAUUGAUUCUCAAUAGAUCAAAAUCAGCGUCGUUUAUUGAGAUGCGGAAAUUAGUUUUCUCUGAGCUAAUUUUCUAAGUGCACCUCAGGGAAACAGUCAAUUGUAUUUUGCUUAUUUUCCAACAAUUGACUGAAAUAAAAAAUAAGCUAAACUUGUAGAUGAUUUUUGAAAUUUAAUUCUGGACAUGGGUUCAAAUCCCAUCAUCUCCACCA